rnacentral:lncRNA from 1 species
CAUUAACUGUAUAGGAAAUAUGUGCUCUUCUAUUCUGUAAAGGCCAAUUUUAGAAAGCAGUACCUGUACUGACCUAAUGCUUUCUCCCCUUUAAGGAAAUCAUACUGUUAAAGUGAUAUGAUUCACCAAAUGCCAUAAUCCAAAUAAAAUGAAGUUGUAUGAGACAGAGAGAAUGAAAACAACUCAGCAGUGACUUCAUGCCAAAUAAACAGUGUAUCUGACUUGGAUUCGGGGCAGAAGCUUGCACUGGCAGCUUUUGCAGGGUUAAGAAUAUUGCACCAGCCCCACCAAAGACAAGAACCAGCACAUUUUUCCUGCGGGAGUAGACUUCUGAAAGCAGCAGUCAGAUUCUUC